rnacentral:rRNA from 1 species
GAAUCUUGGACAAUGGGCGCAAGCCUGAUCCAGCCAUGCCGCGUGAGUGAUGAAGGCCCUAGGGUUGCAAAACUCUUUCGGCGGGGACGAUAAUGACGGUACCCGCAGAAGAAGCUCCGGCUAACUUCGUGCCAGCCGCCGCGGUAAUACGAAGGGGGCUAGCGUUGUUCGGAAUUACUGGGCGUAAAGCGCGCGCAGGCGGGUUGCCAAGUCAGAGGUGAAAGCCCCGAGCUCAACUCGGGAACUGCCUUUGAAACUGGUAGACUAGGGUUCGGGAGAGGUGAGUGGAAUUCCGAGUGUAGAGGUGAAAUUCGUAGAUAUUCGGAAGAACACCAGUGGCGAAGGCGGCUCACUGGCCCGAUACCGACGCUCAGGCGCGAUAGCGUGGGGAGCAAACAGG